rnacentral:rRNA from 1 species
AUUGAACGCUGGCGGAAUGCUUUACACAUGCAAGUCGAACGGCAGCACGGACUUCGGUCUGGUGGCGAGUGGCGAACGGGUGAGUAAUAUAUCGGAACGUGCCCAGUCGUGGGGGAUAACGUAGUGAAAAUUACGCUAAUACCGCAUACGAUCUAUGGAUGAAAGCGGGGGAUCGCAAGACCUCGCGCGAUUGGAGCGGCCGAUAUCAGAUUAGGUAGUUGGUGAGGUAAAGGCUCACCAAGCCGACGAUCUGUAGCUGGUCUGAGAGGACGACCAGCCACACUGGAACUGAGACACGGUCCAGACUCCUACGGGAGGCAGCAGUGGGGAAUUUUGGACAAUGGACGCAAGUCUGAUCCAGCCAUUCCGCGUGCAGGACGAAGGCCUUCGGGUUGUAAACUGCUUUUGUACAGAACGAAAAGGUUUCUAUUAAUACUAGGGGCUCAUAACGGUACUGUAAGAAUAAGCACCGGCUAACUACGUGCCAGCCGCCGCCGUAA